UACGUAGGGGGCAAGCGUUGUCCGGAUUUAUUGGGCGUAAAGAGCUCGUAGGCGGCCACUCAAGUCGAAUGUGAAACCUCGAGGCUUAACCUCGAGCCUGCAUUCGAUACUGGGCGGCUAGAGUCUGGUAGGGGGAUCUGGAAUUCCUGGUGUAGCGGUGGAAUGCGCAGAUAUCUGGAGGAACACCGGUGGCGAAGGCGGAUCUCUGGGCCGAUACUGACGCUGAGGAGCGAAAGCGUGGGGAGCGAACGAGG
rnacentral:rRNA from 1 species